ensembl:lncRNA
CAAUAGUCUCAUGUGCCUGAUUUUAGUUUUGAGUGCUGAGACGACCACGUUCACACGAGUAAGUUAGAUAUACCAAUUAGUACAGUGUAACAACAGUUGCUAUACCAUCAAUCUAGUUAUGUGUGGUACUAUAUAUCUCAAGAGAACAUGUUGAUUAUGUAAGACAUCUAGUCAGGGUGUUCCGUGUAACAGUUAGUAUGAUCGUCAUGAUUGUUCAGAACUAACAACAGUACUGGGUAUCUAUGUGUGUCAGUGGAUACAUUCCUACACAGUGCAUUAUUUUUUGACCAAAGGGCCAUAAUGUAGUUAUCUCUUAUAUUCCCUAUCUAUCUGUGUUUGUGUCAGUGUGUACGUCAACCAGUCCUCCAUCAGGCUUGUGAGUGUCAGAGAGAUGGUGUGGGUGGUUUUUUUCUUCUUUUCUCUGGUGACAGCAAGUUCAGGCAGGGUGUGUGACGGAGGAGAUAUGAGAAGAGUUCCCAAAGCAACAGGCACUCAGAACACAUAGAGAAGAUCACCCAGGAACACAGAGACACAGCAGCUUUAAAGACAUAAAAACAACAGAGAGAUAUAUUGCAUCGCAAAGGAGAAGAGAAGGAGAGAAACAAAAGAAAGAGAAGAGAAGGAGAGAAUAAAAAAAGAAAAGAUGGCGAUCGGAAAGAGUCCCAGAAACGGUUCCGUCAGGUCUCCAAAGUACUUGGACAAGAGUUCUGGGUUCUACGGUCGCCUGGAUGAGCCCGAGAUGGGAGGAGAGGAGGAGGAGCAGGGGAGAGAGGGGGACUGGGGGGGAUCGUGCCCAGCCACAGAGCUCUCUACGGGGGGAGAGACGGACCGGGGAGAGCCUGGGGUGUUUGACUUCAACGAGGGAAUGAUGGAAGAUGACGACACCACUCUCCUCCGAAGGAAACCCAGCCGGCUCAGCUCCCGCUGGAGAAGAAGCUCCAGGAAGGCCAAACCCCAGGCGAUCUCCCCCAGGGAGGGGGAACAGAUCCUGGGUACAGAGAUGGAGGCCCCUGUCCUGGAGGUCACUGCGGUGGAAGUGAGAAGGAGCCGCUGGGGGAGGAGCACCGGGAAGAAACAGGGGGCCGAGCCUCUGACGGUCUCCCCCAGGGAGGAGGGCCCGAUCCUGGGUACGGAGAUGGAGACGCAGACCCCUGUCCUGGAGGUCCUGGAGGUGGAGGUGAGGGUAGAGACUGAAGAAGGACAGAGGGAGAAAGAGAGAAUAGAAGAGGAGAGGACGCUGGUCCACUUUGCGAGCAGAGAAGAAGAGGAUGACCAGGUUCUGAUAAAGGACAAUAAGAGAGGGAGGGAAGAAGAGAAGGAGGAGGAGAUGAAGGUGAUGAGGAAGAGGAGCACGCUGAAGAACUACCGCAAGACUUUCGACCGAGCGUUCCGACGAGGGUGGGAGACCUUCGUCACUAACCUGUACAGCGUGACGCUCACACCUGACUCAUCAUCAUCAUCACCCCCAUCAAGGGAGAUGCACCAUUCCUCAGCAUUAGCAGAAUACAGAUAGGAUUCACAAACCUGUUCAUCUAAUCUGUAAACUGCAAUUGUUCCAAUCAGGUUAUGUAACGCCCAUAUUGUAAUUUGAGAUUGAGGCUGGCUUGGAGAGGGUUCUGUUUGUGUUCUCAACGCAAAUGACCUGUGUUCACCUCAAUGUAUGGUUCAGUUGAUUAAUCAAUCAGUGAUAUUGAUCUAGUACAUACGGGUUUAUCAAUGAUCAAUAUGAACAGCACCCGAUUAACACCAGGAAGUACACAAAGUUUAACUCAUUCUUAUUCUGAAUUCCAAAAUAGCACACUAUUGUACUAGUGCACGAAAUAGGGAAUGGGUUUAAUACUUCCUCACAGGGUGAAGUGUUCAUACCUCUCUGGAGGACCAUCUGCAGGGUGGUUUCAGUGUUGUGCAACCUGAGGGAGACAUAUGUUUCACUAUCCAUGUACCUAUUGAAUGUACCCCAAGUGUGUUAUGUUUGUUUCAUAAAAGGAGAAUGUUUUCAUACCAUGAAAUGAACUAACCAUGGGGGACAUGAGGGUACGAAAAAAAAACGGUCUCAAACUUUGGUCCUCUGACUUUGUCUAAAAGGAGGUUGCACACAACACACACAACAUACAUUAUUUAUUCAUGUUAAUUUAUUUACUAUAUGAUCAGUUUUCACACUUUUCUGUGUAAUCUCUCUCAAUAAUAUCUUACCAAAGAGUUUAUUUAUUUUUAAUUAUUGGCUUAAAUCACAACAUAACAUCUCUCUCUUGCAGCAUUGAAGUCAAGCUCAGAAUUAUAUGAGAGCUAUACUGAGCUGCUGGAGAAAUUGUUUUUCUUCUGUGUUGCACUUGAAUGACUUGAAUGAAAUUGUUAUAUUUAGUUUAAAAAUCAAUGCUUUGUAUUACUUGUGCCAUCUUUGUAGCCUUUGUCCUUAAAUAAAUAUAAUUUCUCAAAUA